CUGGCUCAGGAUGAACGCUAGCGAUAGGCCUAACACAUGCAAGUCGGAGGGCAGCACAUGAGUAGCAAUACGAGUGGUGGCGACCGGCGCACGGGUGAGUAACACGUAUGCAACCUACCUUUAACAGGGGAAUAACCCGUGAAAAACGGACUAAUACUCCAUAACACAGGGGUCCCGCAUGGGAAUAUUUGUUAAAGAUUAAUCGGUUGAAGAUGGGCAUGCGUUCCAUUAGCUUGUUGGUGAGGUAACGGCUCACCAAGGCCACGAUGGAUAGGGGAACUGAGAGGUUUAUCCCCCACACUGGAACUGAGACACGGUCCAGACUCCUACGGGAGGCAGCAGUGAGGAAUAUUGGUCAAUGGAGGCAACUCUGAACCAGCCAAGUCGCGUGAAAGGAUGAAGGUCUUAUGGAUUGUAAACUUCCUUUGCAAGGGAAUAAAGUGGGGGACGUGUCCUCCUUUGCAUGUACCUUGCGAAUAAGGAUCGGCUAACUCCGUGCCAGCAGCGGC
rnacentral:rRNA from 1 species